UACGGAGGGGGCGAGCGUUGUCCGAAGUUACUGGGCGUAAAGCGCGCGUAGGCGGGGAACCAAGUCCGCUGUGAAAGCCCGAGGCUUAACCUCGGCGGGUCGGUGGAUACUGGUUCUCUUGAAGGUGCUAGGGGGAGAUGGAAUUACCGGUGUAGCGGUGAAAUGCGUAGAUAUCUGGAGGAACACCGGUGGCGAGGGCGGCGUCCUGGACCAACACUGACACUGAGGAGCGAAAGCCAGGGGAGCAAACGGG
rnacentral:rRNA from 1 species